UACAGAGGGGGCAAGCGUUAUUCGGAAUUAUUGGGCGUAAAGAGCGUGUAGGCGGCUUUACAGGUCCGUUGUGAAAACUCGAGCUCAACCUCGAGACGCCGGUGGAAGCCGUAAGGCUAGAGUCCGGAAGAGGAGAGUGGAAUUCCCUGUGUAGCGGUGAAAUGCGUAGAGAUGGGGGAGAACACUCGUGGCGAAGGCGGCCAGCUAGACCAGUUCUGACACUGAGGCGCGACAGCGUGGGGAGCAAACAGG
rnacentral:rRNA from 1 species